CGCGAGUUUGGACGUGAUUGGGCAGAACUCUAGGGCGGGCGCCCUCAGGACUUGGGCGGGCGCCCUGUCCCUGAGGCCUCUCGGCUUCCCGUUCAUUCCUGUGGCUUCUGGAGUCUUCUAAAUGAUAGAAAAUUGUGCGGCACGUUAAUAUCUCUAUGUAAUCCAGACAUGUGGGCCUUUCUUCCAUAUUUCCUAAUAACCCCC
rnacentral:lncRNA from 1 species